GAUGAACGCUGGCGUCGUGCCUAAUACAUGCAAGUCGAGCGAACGGACGAGAAGCUUGCUUCUCUGAUGUUAGCGGCGGACGGGUGAGUAACACGUGGAUAACCUACCUAUAAGACUGGGAUAACUUCGGGAAACCGGAGCUAAUACCGGAUGAUAUUUUGAACCGCAUGGUUCAAAAGUGAAAGACGGUCUUGCUGUCACUUAUAGAUGGAUCCGCGCUGCAUUAGCUAGUUGGUAAGGUAACGGCUUACCAAGGCAACGAUGCAUAGCCGACCUGAGAGGGUGAUCGGCCACACUGGAACUGAGACACGGUCCAGACUCCUACGGGAGGCAGCAGUAGGGAAUCUUCCGCAAUGGGCGAAAGCCUGACGGAGCAACGCCGCGUGAGUGAUGAAGGUCUUCGGAUCGUAAAACUCUGUUAUUAGGGAAGAACAGAUGUGUAAGUAACUGUGCACAUCUUGACGGUACCUAAUCAGAAAGCCACGGCUAACUACGUG
rnacentral:rRNA from 1 species